rnacentral:lncRNA from 1 species
CUUUAAUACAUGUAUAAUCCUCUAGGAUUUGUUCCAUUGCAUUGUAAAUUGCUUGGUUUGAAGAUUCUGGUGCUCUCAAUUGUUUCAGUAGCGUAUGAUGAAAUCUUGGUUGCCGUUGCUUAUUUGGCCUGAAGUUUUAAAUAGAACUCGAUUCCAGUCUUUGUUCUAUGUACUCUUUUGCCCUUGCAGUUGGAAUACAGAAAUUCCUUUUAAAAGCCCCUGUCGUUAGAUAAGAUUGCAAAUGUUUCAUCUGGAGUUGCAAGGAGAAAAUUGCUUUCCUUCGUAAAAUUCGUUGCCAAAGCCUUUUCAGCAUAAUGUCUCUAGAGAAUGGUAUUUUGAUUGGGGAAUUUUUUGUAAUUAGGACAGUGGCUUUGGUCCACAGAUCUACUUGUAGUGUUUCCUGCCCCUUUGGCAAGUCCAUGAGCAUUUUCUCUUUUCAUAUGGCUGACCCGCAGUGUCAGAAACCAGCCUGCUUAUAGAAUUCACUUUGAUUUCCAAAGUUUGCCAUCUGGCAUGGAUGGCUUUUCGACUGCAAGCUCACUAAGAGAUACGAAACAUAUCGUGUAGCUAUUUGGAGUAUGACCGCUCUUGUAACCUUUGCUCUUUGCCUUAUUUAUUCAGGUCCCAAACCUACUGUGAAAGGAUCUGGGGAGUGAAAACACAACUUGAACAAAAUCAGUUAGCUAAAUUAAAUUUAACCUUUAUCUGUGUCUCUGUAACCCCGAUGGUUGAAUGCCGGGACUAAAGCAGGAGGUUUACAGGUUCCUUAAAGAGCAAAAGUCUGAUAAAGGAAGAGAGUUGCGUAACUUCAGAGGCUAAAAACAGGAAAAGUCGGGAUAUGCAAAUAGAGGUUCUAACCUGGCAAAGAGAUGACAAGAAGGUUUGUAGUUGACUUUGGCAACCAUAGUAGUGCAAAGGACAUAAUGCAAUCUUUGAAGUUAAUAAAGUCAAAGAGUUGCAUCCAUACAAAGUGCGUAUGGGAGUAUAUUUGUGUGUGUUACAGAUAUGCCUGUCAGUAUUUUUGGAAAUCUCUGUGUUUGUAAGUGUAUCUGUGCCUGGUUUGACUGUACCUUUAACUACUGAGUGCAUUUAUAUAGUUCUUUACAUACAGAUACAUUUGUGUAUAUUCUAAAGGCUAGAGCAAGUAAAUUUGCCCAGUUAGCAUUCCAGAUUCCGAAAAUGACAGUUAGCACGCUACUGUUUUGUGACUAAUGUAAUAUUAUCAAUGGUGCUGUUCCAGACAAUGGGUAUGUCAUUCAUUUAGAAUAAAUUAGUUCCUUUUUAUUGAAAGUUGUGCA